AAUAAUCGGCAUGCGGCCGAUAACGUGGGCAAACGAACGUUCGAGGGAAAUCGACCACGACUUGACAAGUGUGGGCAAAAUUGGCAAGGCAAGCAAGGCAGCCCGAUGAGCGGGCGUGCCGAUGACCGUGUGGGCAAAGAACUGGCAAGUAAUCGGUAAAGGGAAGCUAAAGUGCGGAAAAGGCAAGGCAGAUGGGCUGCCUAGCAACCGGCCGGGCUGUUUGGGCCGUUUGGCGCGCGUUCGCGGGCUCGAUCAAGUUGGGCUUCG
rnacentral:lncRNA from 1 species